GCUUGGGAGCGUCGACAUAAUGCUUGACUAAUUCAAAAUAAUGUCAGCAAGUAAGCUUUAUAUUUGAUAGAAUAAUCUGAAUCUUAAGGAGCUAAGUUUUGAUUAAAAUAUACGAUUAAAAGAUGCUGUGAACCUCGAUUGUGUGACACAAAAAUAUUGC